CCUACGGGGGGCAGCAGUGAGGAAUAUUGGUCAAUGGACGGAAGUCUGAACCAGCCAUGCCGCGUGCAGGAAGACGGCUCUAUGAGUUGUAAACUGCUUUUGUACAAGGGUAAACCUGAAUACGGGUAUUCAGCUGAAAUUACUGUACGAAUAAGGAUCGGCUAACUCCGUGCCAGCGGCCGCGGUAAUACGGAGGAUCCAAGCGUUAGCCGGAUUUAUUGGGUUUAAAGGGUGCGUAGGCGGAUUGAUAAGUUAGAGGUGAAAUGUACGAGCUUAACCCGGGAACUGCCUCUAAUACUGUUGAUCUAGAGAGUAGAUGCGGUAGGCGGAAUGUAUGGUGUAGCGGUGAAAGGCUUAGAGAUCAUACAGAACACCGAUUGCGAAGGCAGCUUACCAAUCUAUAUCUGACGUUGAGGCACGAAAGCGUGGGGAGCAAACAGGAUUAGAUACCCCUGUAGUC
rnacentral:rRNA from 1 species